GGAAAGGGCUGUAUCUUCUUCGAACUCUCAGGUUCUUGAUUAUAUUCCUGAUUGUGUGAUAAACCAUUCAGUAACGGAGGAUCUGCGGUAACUGAAACGAGAGAACAUUGUCAGUCUACAAAAUUACAAAUUACUGUAAUAAAUUGCAAAAAUGGUUAAUACUGAUAGAAGAAAUAGAAUUGUGGAUGUUGUAAAUGAAGCGGGUAAUGAUUAUAAAACAUCACAUGCAGAUAAUUGAAGAAAUAUUAAAAUACAAUUCUUUGAAACAUUGUAUACAUUAACAACAGCUGACACCACACGGACGUUACUCUUUUACGAUUUCCCAUAAAGCAAAUUUCCUCCUAACAGUAACAAGUAUAAAUAUAAAUUUAAACAAUGUAACUUUUACUGCAUUUUACAACUGACACAUACAAAUAAAAAAAAUAGAGGAUUAAUCAAGGUUGCACUGGAUCAUACUACAGUAGACUCUUGCUAUAUUGCCAUGAACAGGAGUAUAACACCAGAAAAUUGCCGGAGGUAGCAACAUGUAGAUUAAAAAGUUUUCUUCUUUAAUACUUGAGACACCUAUAUAACGUGAUACGUUGUACAGCGCGCAACCCUAUAACAGCGAUAUACCGCGUACAGAAUACUAACAUGCUGUAGGUUGAUCAUUUUUAAUCAAGUACGGCGGACUGGUUGUAUCCAUUGGCGUGUGACAGACAGUCGAGACAUUAUCACCGAAGUAAUUACC